rnacentral:rRNA from 2 species
GGUGAUUAACACGUGGGCAACCUGCCUGUAAAACGGGGAUAACUUCGGGAAACCGGAGCUAAUACCGGAUGAUUCUUCUCUGCNCAUGUAGGGAANCUAAAANAUGGUUUACGCUAUCACUUACAGAUGGGCCCGCGGCGCAUUAGCUAGUUGGUGAGGUAACGGCUCACCAAGGCGACGAUGCGUAGCCGACCUGAGAGGGUGAUCGGCCACACUGGGACUGAGACACGGCCCANACUCCUACGGGAGGCAGCAGUAGGGAAUCUUCCACAAUGGACGAAAGUCUGAUGGAGCAACGCCGCGUGAGCGAUGAAGGCCUUCGGGUCGUAAAGCUCUGUUGUUAGGGAAGAACAAGUACCGGAGUAACUGCCGGUACCUUGACGGUACCUAACCAGAAAGCCACGGCUAACUACGUGCCAGCAGCCGCGGUAAUACGUAGGUGGCAAGCGUUGUCCGGAAUUAUUGGGCGUAAAGCGCGCGCAGGCGGUCCUUUAAGUCUGAUGUGAAAGCCCCCGGCUCAACCGGGGAGGGUCAUUGGAAACUGGAGGACUUGAGUGCAGAAGANGAAAGCGGAAUUCCACGUGUAGCGGUGAAAUGCGUAGAGAUGUGGANGAACACCAGUGGCGAANNCNNNUUUCUGGUCUGUAACUGACGCUGNNCGCGAAAGCGUGGGGAGCAAACNGGAUUAGAUACCCUGGUAGUCCACGCC